rnacentral:rRNA from 1 species
GAUGAACGCUAGCUACAGGCUUAACACAUGCAAGUCGCGGGGUAACAUCUGGUAGAGCUUGCUCUUCCAGGAUGACGACCGGCGCACGGGUGAGUAACGCGUAUCCAACCUGGCCCAUACCACGGGAUAGCCCGUCGAAAGGCGGAUUAAUACCGUAUGCUGUCAUUAAGAUGCAUAUAUUGAUGACGAAAGGACUGGCGGUAUGGGAUGGGGAUGCGUCUGAUUAGCUUGUUGGCGGGGUAACGGCCCACCAAGGCGACGAUCAGUAGGGGUUCUGAGAGGAAGGUCCCCCCANAUUGGAACUGAGACACGGUCCAAACUCCUACGGGAGGCAGCAGUGAGGAAUAUUGGUCAAUGGGCGCAGGCCUGAACCAGCCAAGUCGCGUGAGGGAUGACGGUCCUACGGAUUGUAAACCUCUUUUGUUUGGGAAUAAAGUGCGGGACGCGUCCCGCAUUGCAUGUACCAUUUGAAUAAGGACCGGCUAAUUCCGUGCCAGCAG